GUGCCAGCAGCCGCGGUAAUACGGAGGAUCCGAGCGUUAUCCGGAUUUAUUGGGUUUAAAGGGAGCGUAGGCGGGAAGUCAAGUCAGCUGUGAAAUGUAGGCGCUCAACGCCUGCACUGCAGUUGAAACUGGUUUUCUUGAGUGCGUAAGGGGCAGGCGGAAUUCGUCGUGUAGCGGUGAAAUGCUUAGAUAUGACGAAGAACUCCGAUCGCGAAGGCAGCUUGCCGGGCCGCAACUGACGCUGAAGCUCGAAGGUGCGGGUAUCGAACAGGAUUAGAUACCCUGGUAGUCCGCACAGUAAACGAUGGAUACUCGCUGUCGGCGAUACACGGUCGGUGGCCAAGCGAAAGCGUUAAGUAUCCCACCUGGGGAGUACGCCGGCAACGGUGAAACUCAAAGGAAUUGACGGGGGCCCGCACAAGCGGAGGAACAUGUGGUUUAAUUCGAUGAUACGCGAGGAACCUUACCCGGGCUUGAAUUGCUGGUGACGGAAACUGGAGACAGUUACCUUCCUUCGGGACGCCAGUGAAGGUGCUGCAUGGUUGUCGUCAGCUCGUGCCGUAAGGUGUCGGCUCAAGUGCCAUAACGAGCGCAACCCUUGCCGUUAGUUGCCAUCAGGUUAUGCUGGGGACUCUAUCGGGACUGCCAUCGUAAGAUGUGAGGAAGGUGGGGAUGACGUCAAAUCAGCACGGCCCUUAUGUCCGGGGCUACACACGUGUUACAAUGGGGGGUACAGAGGGAAGCCACCUGGCGACAGGGCGCGGAUCCCGAAAACCCUUCUCAGUUCGGAUCGGAGUCUGGAACCCGACUCCGUGAAGCUGGAUUCGCUAGUAAUCGCGCAUCAGCCAUGGCGCGGUGAAUACGUUCCCGGGCCUUGUACACACCGCCCGU
rnacentral:rRNA from 1 species